rnacentral:misc_RNA from 1 species
GAUGAAGAACGCAGCGAAAUGCGAUAAGUAGUGUGAAUUGCAGAAUUCAGUGAAUCAUCGAAUCUUUGAACGCACAUUGCGCCCCUUGGUAUUCCAUGGGGCAUGCCUGUUCGAGCGUCAUUUGUACCCUCAAGCACUGCUUGGUGUUGGGUGUUUGUCCCGCUUUGCGCGUGGACUCGCCUUAAAGCAAUUGGCAGCCGGCAGAUUGGCCUGGAUCGCGAGCACAUUUUGCGACCUUGUCAUAACUGUUUGGCACCCAUCAAGACUAUUUUUUGCUCUUGACCUCGGAUCAGGUAGGGAUACCCGCUGAACUUAAGCAUAUCAAUAAGCGGAGGA